CAUUUCCUGGGGUGUUCGCCAGCCUGUUUAUUUUGAUCCUACAUUAUUCGCACGGGACUCCUAUAUCUUCAUUUUCAAUGUCAAGCCUCCUUAGUCAGUGGAAGGCAGCGGAAUGAAUGCGGUAACCCACCUAGCUAAGCUAGGAGUCGAAAACGCAGGCAACGGCAUUUUGGGAAUGUU
rfam:Eubacterium sp. CAG:38 genomic scaffold, scf17